rnacentral:rRNA from 1 species
CCCAAACACUUAGCAGAGAUGCUUUGGUGCCUUCGGGAACUCUGAGACAGGUGCUGCAUGGCUGUCGUCAGCUCGUGUUGUGAAAUGUUGGGUUAAGUCCCGCAACGAGCGCAACCCUUAUCCUUUGUUGCCAGCGGUUAGGCCGGGAACUCAAAGGAGACUGCCAGUGAUAAACUGGAGGAAGGUGGGGAUGACGUCAAGUCAUCAUGGCCCUUACGAGUAGGGCUACACACGUGCUACAAUGGCGCAUACAAAGAGAAGCGACCUCGCGAGAGCAAGCGGACCUCAUAAAGUGCGUCGUAGUCCGGAUUGGAGUCUGCAACUCGACUCCAUGAAGUCGGAAUCGCUAGUAAUCGUGGAUCAGAAUGCCACGGUGAAUACGUUCCCGGGUCUUGAAACACACCGA